rnacentral:tRNA from 1 species
GCCGGGUUAGCUCAGUUGGUCAGAGCAUGGUGCUAAUAACACCAAGUUCACAGGUUCAAUCCCUGCUCACUGCA